rnacentral:lncRNA from 1 species
GCCGCUGAAGCCGCAGGGCCUAAUUGCCGGCCCAUUAACUAUCACAACUUCUUCAAGUAGUUCUGAAUGUUUGCUGCAUAACAUAGCUAAAUGAAAGACAACUAAGAUAACCGGAGGAUCGGGUCCUCAGGAUGGCCUUCCGAGCAUUGGCCUACAUGGCCUCUGGCCCAUCCAUUAGAGCUGGGCCGUCCGCUAUCAUCGAUGUGAUCUUGCUCUUCUUCUUGCUUCUAGGCUGGUUUCCUUGCUACACCAGCGUCUUGAUGGCUGCUAUCUUCAUACCUGUCAGGGGCUUUGGGAGGUGCUGUGCCAGGUGAUCAAAAUCAACAUUAGAGUCGGUCGCCUUGGGAGAUAAUUACCCUAGCUUUUUUGAUAACACUCUUUGUGCUUGUUGGAUACUAUCUUUCCCCGGGUGAAGUUCGGCCUUGUCUACCAAAUGGGAGCUGUUCCUUUGUGUGGUAGUAAUCUCAGGUUGAUCUUGGUGGGAUUGCCUAGUGUUAAUUUUUGGAGGAGUGUUCAGAAUUGGUACUGGUGGCAUGUGUAAAAUGAAAUCGAUGAAGGUUGUUAAGUUUUCUGGUUGGGAGAGCUCACCAUUGUUCAGUUGUGUCCUUUCUCUGUUGUGCUCUACACUAUCAUUGUGUUCAUUCUCAUCGUGUGCAGGUGAGCGAGUGAUGCUUACAGCAAACUCUGGCGUGGCACCGGACACUGGGUUGUUCUCUGGGAUCGAAACAUCUGUAGAAGGUUGGGUGUGCUCUCCUUUAUGCAGCGGUGUCUUUUCACUAUUGUGCUCACUGUAGGUGUUUUGUUCAGAUGCAGCUGGGCGAGUGUUGCUUACUACAUUCGCCAAGGUUUCACAGCGAAAUGGGUUGUUUAGAGUGUUGGUCUCAUUGGCCAAAGCAGUUGUGCUAGGAGCAUAGGGAACAGAUGGGUUUUGGGUGGCUUGCAGGGUGAUCUCUGAAACUUCCAUGUUCUCUCUCACAUUCAAUGAAAUGCAAAACUCAGGAAUAAAAAUAGUAGAGGUAGGUUCAUCAGAGAUGCGAACCUUCUUGGUGGGAUCAACUUGGGUGAAGUUUCUCCUCCGAUCCUCCUCUGCAGCUGUCGCCCCUUCACCUCCUCUGGGCGCUGGCGAGAUGACUGGUUCCCAUCCUAAAGCCGUGUUCAGCAUGUUCAGAAUGCACCGCUCUUUGGUGGAAUAUCCUGC